rnacentral:rRNA from 1 species
GUGCCUAACACAUGCCAGUCGAACGGAUUUUACAUGAAGCCUAGCGAUUGUAAAUUUAGUGGCGGACGGGUGAGUAACGCGUGGGUAACCUGCCUUGUACUGGGGGACAACAGUUGGAAACGACUGCUAAUACCGCAUAAGCGCACAGCUUCGCAUGAAGCAGUGUGAAAAACUCCGGUGGUACAAGAUGGACCCGCGUCUGAUUAGCUGGUUGGUGAGGUAACGGCCCACCAAGGCGACGAUCAGUAGCCGGCCUGAGAGGGUGAACGGCCACAUUGGGACUGAGACACGGCCCAAACUCCUACGGGAGGCAGCAGUGGGGAAUAUUGCACAAUGGGGGAAACCCUGAUGCAGCAACGCCGCGUGAGUGAAGAAGUAUUUCGGUAUGUAAAGCUCUAUCAGCAGGAAAGAAAAUGACGGUACCUGACUAAGAAGCCCCGGCUAACUACGUGCCAGCAGCCGCGGUAAUACGUAGGGGGCAAGCGUUAUCCGGAUUUACUGGGUGUAAAGGGAGCGUAGACGGUUUUGCAAGUCUGAAGUGAAAGCCCGGGGCUUAACCCCGGGACUGCUUUGGAAACUGUAGGACUAGAGUGCAGGAGAGGUAAGUGGAAUUCCUAGUGUAGCGGAGAAAUGCGUAGAUAUUAGGAGGAACACCAGUGGCGAAGGCGGCUUACUGGACUGUAACUGACGUUGAGGCUCGAAAGCGUGGGGAGCAAACAGGAUUAGAUACCCUGGUAGUCCACGCCGUAAACGAUGAUUACUAGGUGUUGGUGGGUAUGACCCAUCGGUGCCGCAGCAAACGCAAUAAGUAAUCCACCUGGGGAGUACGUUCGCAAGAAUGC